ACUGGGCAGGCAAAGUAAGAUAACUCUGGCGUGCAUUUUGACAGAAUUAUGUGCCCUUUUUAUACUUAGAAAAUUGAAAAUUUUGGUUAAGUUUUGCGUUUAGGUCCACUUUUCUCAGAAAGUAUCAAUGCUAUUGCAUUCAAACUUGGUACACUUACUUACUAUCAUGAGGGGACUGUGCAGGCAAAGUUAGAUAACUCUGGCGUGCAUUUUGACAGAAUUAUGUGCCCUUUUUAUACUUAGAAAAUUGAAAAUUUUGGUUAA